rnacentral:rRNA from 1 species
GAUGAACGCUGGCGGCGUGCCUAAUACAUGCAAGUCGAGCGAACGGACGAGAAGCUUGCUUCUCUGAUGUUAGCGGCGGACGGGUGAGUAACACGUGGAUAACCUACCUAUAAGACUGGGAUAACUUCGGGAAACCGUAGCUAUACCGGAUAAUAUUUUUAACCCCCUGUUUCAAAAAUGAAAGACGGUCUUUCUGUCACUUAUAUAUGGGUCCGCGCUGCAUUAGCUAGUUGGUAAGGUAACGGCUUACCAAGGCAACGAUGCAUAGCCGACCUGAGAGGGUGAUCGGCCACACUGGAACUGAGACACGGUCCAGACUCCUACGGGAGGCAGCAGUAGGGAAUCUUCCACAAUGGGCGAAAGCCUGACGGAGCAACGCCGCGUGAGUGAUGAAGGUCUUCGGAUCGUAAAACUCUGUUAUUAGGGAAGAACAUAUGUGUAAGUAACUGUGCACAUCUUGACGGUACCUAAUCAGAAAGCCACGGCUAACUACGUG